AUUUAAAAAAAUAAUAAUUUCGGAUAGAUUAAUAGUGAAAGGACACUGCCAAAAAGGAUGAUUAAGUAAUCCAAAGAAGAUUUCGAGUCAUUCAUUACAUUUGUGUUGUACUAGUUUCCUACCUCACUAUAGCUCUGACGCAGCUGAAGUGUUCUGUACUUGGCUGACAACUGUUCUCCCAAAAUUCAUUUCCAUCAGGAAUCUGUAAAUGUGACCUUACUUGGAAAUAGGGUCUUUGUAGGUGUAAUCCAAUUAGGAUGAAGUCACACUGGAUUAGAGCGGACCCUAAAUCCAAUGACUGGUAUCAUAAAAAGAAGAAGGAAAUGUGGACAUACUGACACACAGGGGGAAAGUGGCCAUGUGAAGAAGGAAUCUGAGAUUGGAGUGAUGCCCAGCUCUAAGCCAUGGAAUGCCAGGGAUUGCCUGAGACCACUGGAAACAAGAAGAGGCAAGGAAGGAUUCUUCCAGAGCCGUUGGAAGGAGCAUGACCCUGCGGACUCCUUGAUUUCAGGCUUCUGUUCCCUGGAACUGACUGUGAAAAAUCAUUUGCUUUUGUUGCAUUCUUGGAGCCCCUGCGAAUUCAUUAUUGAAAAAUACCUGCUGCGUGCAUUUGGCCUUAUGUUGUCAUUUACUUGGUCCAAGUUCAGUUCUAUAUUAGGCAUAAAACUCCUAGUCUCACUCUGUCACCCAAGCUGGAGUGCAGUGGCAUGA
rnacentral:lncRNA from 1 species